rnacentral:rRNA from 1 species
AACGAACGCUGGCGGCAUGCCUAACACAUGCAAGUCGAACGAACCCUUCGGGGUUAGUGGCGCACGGGUGCGUAACGCGUGGGAAUCUGCCCUUUGCUUCGGAAUAACAGUUAGAAAUGACUGCUAAUACCGGAUGAUGUCUUCGGACCAAAGAUUUAUCGGCAAAGGAUGAGCCCGCGUAGGAUUAGGUAGUUGGUGGGGUAAAGGCCUACCAAGCCGACGAUCCUUAGCUGGUCUGAGAGGAUGAUCAGCCACACUGGGACUGAGACACGGCCCAGACUCCUACGGGAGGCAGCAGUGGGGAAUAUUGGACAAUGGACGCAAGUCUGAUCCAGCAAUGCCGCGUGAGUGAUGAAGGCCUUAGGGUUGUAAAGCUCUUUUACCCGGGAUGAUAAUGACAGUACCGGGAGAAUAAGCUCCGGCUAACUCCGUGCCAGCCGCCGCAGUAAAAC